rnacentral:tRNA from 1 species
GCCCAAGUAGCUCAGUUGGUAGAGCAGUGGACUGAAAAUCCGCGUGUCCGUGGUUCGAAUCCGCGCUUGGGCA